GAUAAGUCGGGGCCAGAGGAGGAGGUAAGACGUAGGUGGCAAGCGUUGGCCGGAAUUGGUGGGCGUAAAGCGCGAGGAGGCGGUGCUUUAAUUGGGAUGUGAAAGGCCACGGGUCAACCGGGGAGGGUCAUUGGAAGCUGGUGGACUUGAGUGCAUAAGAGGAAAGCGGAAUUCAACGUGUAGCGGUGAAAUGCGUAGAGAUGUGGAGGAACACCAGUGGCGAAGGCGGCUUUCUGGUCUGUAACUGACGCUGAGGCGCGAAAGCGUGGGGAGCAAACAGGAUUAGAUACCCUUGUAGUC
rnacentral:rRNA from 1 species